rnacentral:rRNA from 1 species
AUUGAACGCUGGCGGCAGGCCUAACACAUGCAAGUCGAACGAGUGGCGGACGGGUGAGUAAUAUCUGGGAAACUGCCUGCUGGAGGGGGAUAACUACUGGAAACGGUAGCUAAUACCGCAUACCAUCAGAGGUGCCCCGAUGGGAUUAGCUUGUUGGUGGGGAAACGGCUCACCAAGGCGACGAUCCUAGCUGGUCUUAGAGGAUGACCAGCAAAACUGGAACUGAGACACGGUCCAGACUCCUACGGGAGGCAGCAGUGGGGAAUAUUGCACAAUGGGGGAAAGCCUGAUGCAGCCAUGCCGCGUGUAUGAAGAAGGCCUUCGGGUUGUAAAGUACUUUCAGCGGGGAGGCGUUAUCCGCAGAAGAAGCACCGGCUAACUCCGUGCCAGCAGCCGCGGUAAUAC